UCGACGAUGAACUCACUUUACACCUUGAACAAAGAUCUGCCUUCGACGACAACCUACUCGUCAGAACAGCGGGAGAAGAUAAUACCUUCAUCGAAAAGUUUGUGGAUGCGUCAGAGUUCAACAGCAAGCUUUUCCAAGAUCCACAGCGCAUGGCUUCUGCAGUAGUGUCUGAAGAAGACGGACUGCGUGUGAAUGGCAUCAUCGGAGAAGACAUGCUCAUCCGCCCUCUGUUGGCGAUGGAACGAACUGCAGAAGGCCAUGUUCCGCAUCUUCUCUACCGGGAGGAAUCCUUGAAGGGUGGAGCU